rnacentral:misc_RNA from 1 species
GAUGAAGAACGUAGCGAAAUGCGAUAAGUAAUGCGAAUUGCAGAAUCCGUGAGUCAUCGAAUCUUUGAACGCACAUUGCGCCCGGCAGUACUCUGCCGGGCAUGCCUGUUCGAGCGUCAUUUCAACCCUCAAGCCCUGCUUGGUGUUGGGGCCCUGCGGCUGCCGCAGGCCCUGAAAGGAAGUGGCGGGCUCGCUGCAACUCCGAGCGUAGUAGAUCUCUAUCUCGCUAGGGAGGCGCGGCGCGUUCCGGCCGUUAAAACCCCCAAAUAUCAAGGUUGACCUCGGAUCAGGUAGGAUUACCCGCUGAACUUAAGCAUAUCAAUAAGCGGAGGA